CUCAUUGUUAAUCCAGUUUUCUCUGAGCAUAAAUACAGCUUUAUUCUUGGGUAGGUUUUUUUUAGUUACUUUAUUUCUAAAAAGCGUCGCUUAAUGGUAUCAAUUUCUUGUAAACAUAAAUCCUUCAAAGGGAAAAAGAGAAAUGGCAAAAUCCUCAGGAGGUUUCCACCAGCAUUUCACUUCAGCUCACGAUCUUCACAUCUCCUACAGAAAAUCCUUGGAGUCAUCAUUUCACAGACCAAUGGUGUCUCCUCGGGGUGCCCUCCCGGCUCCGUCACGCAGCGCUGCGGCGGCGGCCCCGACGGCGCGGGCCGCUCUCCAUCUCCGUCCGCCUCGGCCGUCCCGGGCGCAGUGCGGGGCGCAGUCGGGACAUUCGCUACAUUGUUAGCAUUCCUCGCGCGUCACGUGACCGCGCGCCCGCGUCAUUCCAC
rnacentral:lncRNA from 1 species